UACGUAGGGUGCGAGCGUUGUCCGGAAUUAUUGGGCGUAAAGGGCUCGUAGGCGGUCUGUUGCGUCAGGAGUGAAAACUCGGGGCUUAACCCCGAGCCUGCUUCUGAUACGGGCAGACUAGAGGUAUGCAGGGGAGAAUGGAAUUCCUGGUGUAGCGGUGAAAUGCGCAGAUAUCAAGAGGAACACCUGAGGUGAAGACGGGUUGCUGGGCUGACACUGACGCUGAGGCGCGAAAGCCAGGGGAGCAAACGGG
rnacentral:rRNA from 1 species